UUUGAUGAACAGCAUCAACACUGAGUGUUUGUGUUAAUGCAUGCCUCACGCCCAUUAUUAAGAAGGAUCUUAGGCGUGCCUCUGUCUUCCUGUACUAAAUUUCUACUUAUUUUGCAAGAGUGCUCAGGAAGAUCAAUUGGCACCAAGAUAGUAAACUACCACCACAUAUUUUUUUAAGAAUAUGAAAGUAUCACAGACACUUACAUGCCACUUCCAGAGAUGCAUUUCGACUCACUGCUUCACCAAGAUAGUUCCUUGCAACACAAACGUAACUCCCUUCGUCCGGUUUACUUCUGCGCCCAUGAACAAUUCGCAAAAAGAAUAAAGAUCCGCUGGGCAGAAGCAUUCUGUGGGACCUGGGAUCAUCCUUGUCUGUCUCCACCCUCUCACCAUCCUUGUACCAUUCAAUGGUGGGGGUGGGUCGGCCCUCUGCUUUACAGUUCAGAGUGGUGGGCUCUCCCUUGGAGACGAUGACAUCAGAAGGGUGUUCUACGAUCCUGGGGGGAAAGUCUUCUUGACGAAGACGAGAUCCCCCCUUCCAAGGUUUGCCCUUCCAGGGGGUCCUGGUCAGCUUGCCUAGAGUUGGUCCUGAGAAGAAUAACAUCAAAACGAAGAGAAGUUCGAGUCUAGUAAUUUUGUCCACUUUCUCGGAUGAUAACAUUUCCACAAGUGAAUUUUAUAAAAAUUUCUCACAUCCUCUUCCCUCCGGGUUCUGAAGGUAGCAUUGAUCAUUGAGAAGUCGGAGGUAGGUGGUGUUUUGCCAUCUUUAGCAGCUGAAGG
rnacentral:antisense_RNA from 1 species